CCUCCUGUUCUUGUCACGCCCGCCCUGUGUGUGGGAGCGCGUGUAUAUAUCAUACGGAGGGACAGUGACCGACCUCAGUGUUAUGUCUUCGGUGGCAGCGGAGGUGUCCGUCUGUUGCUUCUAUCCUCACUCACUGAGACAAGA
rnacentral:snoRNA from 1 species